rnacentral:rRNA from 1 species
CCUACGGGUGGCUGCAGUGGGGAAUAUUGGGCAAUGGGCGCAAGCCUGACCCAGCAACGCCGCGUGAAGGAAGAAGGCUCUCGGGUUGUUAACUUCUUUUCUCAGGGACGAAGCAAGUGACGGUACCUGAGGAAUAAGCCACGGCUAACUACGUGCCAGCAGCCGCGGUAAUACGGAGGUGGCAAGCGUUAUCCGGAUUUACUGGGUGUAAAGGGGGUGUAGGCGGGAAAGCAAGUCAGAUGUGAAAACCAUGGGCUCAACCUGUGGCCUGCAUUUGAAACUGUUUUUCUUGAGUACUGGAGAGGCAGACGGAAUGCGUAGUGUAGCGGUGAAAUGCGUAGAUAUUAGGAGGAACACCGGUGGCGAAGGCGGCUUACUGGACCGAAACUGACGCUGAGGCACGAAAGCGUGGGGAGCAAACAGGAUUAGAUACCCCUGUAGUC